AUGAUGUCCUUUCCAUUAACAAUCCGAACUUUUCUGAUUGGAUUCCAUUAAUAUACCCACCAGAACUAGAAAUUAAAGAGACCACAGACACGGCUUCCUCUGCCUCAUUUUUAGACUUAUACCUCGAAUUUGACAUACACAGUCAUCUCAGUACCAGAAUCUAUGACAAACGAGACGAUUUUAAUUUUGAAAUUAUCAAUU
rnacentral:lncRNA from 1 species